rnacentral:rRNA from 1 species
UACGUAGGGUGCAAGCGUUGUCCGGAAUUAUUGGGCGUAAAGAGCUCGUAGGCGGUUUGUCGCGUCUGUUGUGAAAACUGGAGGCUCAACCUCCAGCUUGCAGUGGGUACGGGCAGACUAGAGUGCGGUAGGGGAGAUUGGAAUUCCUGGUGUAGCGGUGGAAUGCGCAGAUAUCAGGAGGAACACCGAUGGCGAAGGCAGAUCUCUGGGCCGUAACUGACGCUGAGGAGCGAAAGCGUGGGGAGCGAACAGG